AUAGUUAAGAGUUUGAUCCUAGCUCAGGAUGAACGCUGGCGGCGUGGAUAAGGCAUGCAAGUCAAGGGCCCCGCCCUUAUGGCGCAAGCCAAAAGGGCGGGGACCGGCAGACGAGGUAGUAAUAAUUAGGUACGCACCCUGGAGUCGGGCAUAGCUCGUCGAAAGACGGGGUAAUUCCCGAUGGUCCCCGCUCUUUUGAUCCGUUGUUGCAAGGGAAAAUUUCUUGUGACCGCGGAUCAAAAGAGCGGGGUAAAGUUUUUCGCUCCGGGAGCGGCCUGAUCGGUAUCAGCUAGUUGGUAGGGUAACGGCCUACCAAGGCUAUGACGCCUAGGGGAGCUGAGAGGCUGACCCCCACCGAGGGCACUGAGACACGGGCCCUACACCUACGGGUGGCCGCAGUCGAGAAUCUUCCGCAAUGGGCGAAAGCCUGACGGAGCGACGCCGCGUGGAGGAUGAAGCGCUUCGGCGCGUAAACUCCUUUUGCCGGGGACGAAGUCUAUUGACGGUACCCGGAGAAUAAGAGGUUGCUAAACUCGUGCCAGCAGCAGCGGUAAUACGAGUGCCUCGAGCGUUAUCCGGAAUCAUUGGGCGUAAAGGGUGCGCAGGCGGCCGCGUUAGUCUCCCGUAAAAUUCUCCGGCUCAACCGGGGAGGCGCGGGGGAAACGGCGCGGCUUGAGGGCGGCAGAGGUCUCCGGAACUCUAGGUGUAGCGGUGAAAUGCGUUGAUAUCUAGGGGAACACCGAAAGCGAAGGCAGGAGACUGGGCCGUCCCUGACGCUCAAGCACGAAAGCGUGGGUCGCGAAAGGGAUUAGAUACCCCUGUAGUCCACGCCCUAAACGAUGAUCUCUCGCUUUGAGGAGUAUCGACCCUCUUCGAGGCCAAGCUAACGCGUUAAGAGAUCCGCCUGGGUAGUACGGCCGCAAGGCUGAAACUCAAAGGAAUAGACGGGGACUUGCACAAGCGGUGGAACAUGUGGUUCAAUUCGACGCUAAACGAAGAACCUUACCAGGGCUAGAAAUCCAUUCGAAGGCCGGCAGAAACGUCGGCCGCCGCAAGGCGGAUGGACAGGUGCUGCAUGGCUGUCGUCAGUUCGUGGUUUGAACUGUUCCCUUCAGUGGGGUAACGAACGCAACCCCUGUUGCCUGUUACAAGUGUCAGGCGAGACCGCCCCGCCCUUUUGAUUUUAGUUUUCUGUGAAUAGAAUCAAAAGGGCGGGGAGGAAGGUGGGGAUGACGCCAAGUCAGCAUGGCCCUUGAUGCCCUGGGCCACACACGUGUUACAAUCGCGGCUACAACGGGACGCAAUGGCGACGAAAGCCGGAGCAAACCCUCAGAAAAGCCGCGCCAGUUCGGAUUGAGGUCUGCAACUCGACCUCAUGAAGCCGGAAUCGCUAGUAAUCGCGGGUCAGCUAUACCGCGGUGAAUACGUUCUCAAGUCUUGUACUCACCGCCCGUCAAGCUAAGGGAGUCGGAAGCGCCCGAAGUCCCGCCUCGCGCGGGCCUACGGCGAGUUCGAUGACAAGAGCUAAGUCGUAACAAGGCACGGGUAGCGGAAGCUGCUCGUGGAAUAUUUCAAGG
rnacentral:rRNA from 1 species